rnacentral:lncRNA from 1 species
AUGGAGUAUGCGGCAGCCCUGUGUGCUGGGACAGAAAAAAGGGACUGGAGAAAAGGAACACGUUUGUUUUUACUCAACCAGAACUGCGCGAGUCCUCUCUCAGCGAAUACUGGUUCGUCUGCAUGCAUGCCAGCACAGCUGCCAACCUGGAACACAGCCCUUUCCAAGAAAGCCCAGGAGAGCAGCCAACUGUUGACUCACCUGCCAGACACGGGGAUACUGCAGCCAAGAUGCCUCGGGGCCCUUGCAGGAGGAUUGGCAGGGCAGGCCCACGGUGGGGCACACACACACGGCUCUGUGGGGCGCUUCAAAGGGCCAGGCCUUCUUUCCUGAGUGCUUCAAGUUCCAGAGGUUAAAGACAUCCAGAUGGGCUUGUCCCCUCCCCCUCCUCCUCUGUUCUUCAGCCCUGGAAGUUUCUGCAGGAGACGGUCUUCCUCUGCAUUUCCAUUUGGGUGGCAGGCAGGAUUCUAAGAAAGCCCCCAUGAUUUUCUGCCCUCACUCCCGCCCUGGUGUGCACUCUCCUUCAGGACUGAGAAUGUAAUGGACGGCACUGCCCUGGUUAGAUUGUAUUAUACGAUGCAGCUGACCUUAAAGAAAGGAGAUAUUCCUGGUGGUCUGGUCCAAUCACAAGAUCCCUUUAAAGGCAGAGUUUUUGUCUGGCUGGUGACAGAAGUGCAUGUGAGAGUUCAAAGCUGGAGGGUUUGACCCACCCUUUCUGGCUCGAAGAUGGAGGAAGCCCCAUGGCAAGACAUGCAGGCAGCUUCUAGAAGCUGAGUAGCCAUCAACUCACGUCCAGCAAAGAACCAGGAGCUUCAGACCCACAAUAGCAAGGAGUUGAAUUCUCUCAACGAUGAACAUGAACUUGCACAUGGCUUCUUCCUUAGAGCCUCAGACAAGAACUGGGUCACCUUGACUUCUAAUUUCUGAUACCCUGAGCAGCAAAAACAUCUGAGUUUACCCAGACUGUGACCUACGGAAUGGUGAGUUGAUGGUGUCAUUUCUAACUGCUAAAUUUGUGGUAACUUGUUACAAUACAAUAGAAAACUAAUACACCUGGGAUACUUCAUAGGCCUCUCAAACCUCACAGGUCCCGCUGUUUCUCCAUGAACCUGCUCUUCAGUCUUCCCCAUCUUGUUAGUGACAACUAGCUUCUUCUGCGCUCAGGCUGCAAGUCUUAAAAGUCUCUUCUUGUAGACUCUAUGUUGAUCGAUCAGCAAAUUCUUUCAACUCUCCUAUUGUAAAGUAUCGAGAUUUUGAUGGUGCCUCACCAGCCCCAGCGCACUCCCUCUCCUCUCUG